UACGGAGGGGGCUAGCGUUGUUCGGAAUUACUGGGCGUAAAGCGCACGUAGGCGGCUUUGUAAGUUAGAGGUGAAAGCCCAGGGCUUAACCCUGGAAUUGCCUUUAAGACUGCAUCGCUAGAAUCGUGGAGAGGUGAGUGGAAUUCCGAGUGUAGAGGUGAAAUUCGUAGAUAUUCGGAAGAACACCAGUGGCGAAGGCGACUCACUGGCCCGUUACUGACGCUGAGGUGCGAAAGCGUGGGGAGCAAACAGG
rnacentral:rRNA from 1 species